rnacentral:rRNA from 1 species
UACGUAGGGGGCUAGCGUUGUCCGGAAUCAUUGGGCGUAAAGAGCGUGUAGGCGGCGUGUUAAGUCUUGCGUGAAAUCUCGGGGCUCAACCCCGAGCGGUCGUGAGAAACUGGCAGGCUAGAGUGCGGGAGAGGAGAGUGGAAUUCCUGGUGUAGCGGUGAAAUGCGCAGAUAUCAGGAAGAACACCCGUGGCGAAGGCGGCUCUCUGGAACGCAACUGGACGCUGAGA